UGGUCAAGCCUUCCUGACUAGG
rnacentral:miRNA from 1 species